rnacentral:lncRNA from 1 species
AUUGAAUUGGUGCUUUACUCUAAGUUCGCCAUAGGCAAGACUUAUUUUUACUGGUUUUAUAUUUAUGCUUAUUAAUGCCAUCCUAAUUUAAGCAUAAGUAAUUGUGCUUUCUAUAAUGAUAAAAUUUUUAUAUAAACUCUCAAAGUUCAAAGAAUAAUAAAUCACAGGUUAAACAAAUCUGACCUGAAAAAAAUGCAACAGCAGUUAAGGGCAGAGCAGUUGUUUCCUCAUGGACUCUGGGUCCCUCUCUUACUAUACAGUAUACCCUGCCAUGGCUAUCUAGCAAGCACAGCUCUUGCUUUGUUAAGACUGUCUUUGCAGGAUACUCAUAUCCAGGAAAAAGAGUUUAAGUAUAAAUUCAAUCACAAACCACACUUGAAGAAAAUGACAAUAUUUAAGAAAGCAAACUAUCAUUUAAGAAAGCAAACUAUCAUCUUCUGCUUCUCCCUAAAUUAAUCUGACCUCUCUUGGAAUAGUUUUUCCAAAUUUAAGGGGAAAUCUGACAACUAAUCCACCUAAUUUUUUCAAAAGUGAAUAAUAGAAAAAAA